AUAUAUAUAUAUACACUUAAGAUCAAGUGUAGUAUCUGUUCUUAUCAGUUUAAUAUCUGAUACGUGGUCCGAUGGACCACAUGAUAUUAAAUUAAUUUUUCUUGGGGGAAGGUCCAUCACAGUAGUUUGCUGCUGGGACCUUCGAGCGUCGCCCAUGCAUUGCACUUCUACAAGGGCCUGGCGCACCAAAA